rnacentral:rRNA from 1 species
AGUGAACGCUGGCGGUAGGCCUAACACAUGCAAGUCGAACGGCAGCACAGUAAGAGCUUGCUCUUACGGGUGGCGAGUGGCGGACGGGUGAGGAAUACAUCGGAAUCUACUUUUUCGUGGGGGAUAACGUAGGGAAACUUACGCUAAUACCGCAUACGACCUACGGGUGAAAGCAGGAGAUCUUCGGACCUUGCGCGAUUGAAUGAGCCGAUGUCGGAUUAGCUAGUUGGCGGGGUAAAGGCCCACCAAGACGACGAUCCGUAGCUGGUCUGAGAGGAUGAUCAGCCACACUGGAACUGAGACACGGUCCAGACUCCUACGGGAGGCAGCAGUGGGGAAUAUUGGACAAUGGGCGCAAGCCUGAUCCAGCCAUACCGCGUGGGUGAAGAAGGCCUUCGGGUUGUAAAGCCCUUUUGUUGGGAAAGAAAAGCAGCAGGUUAAUACCCCGCUGUUCUGACGGUACCCAAAGAAUAAGCACCGGCUAACUUCGUG